UACGAAGGGGGGCUAGCGUUGUUCGGAAUUACUGGGCGUAAAGCGCGCGCAGGCGGUCUUCCAAGUCAGUGGUGAAAGCCCGGAGCUCAACUCCGGAACUGCCAUUGAAACUGUUAGACUUGAGGAUAGAGAGGUGAGUGGAAUUCCCAGUGUAGAGGUGAAAUUCGUAGAUAUUGGGAAGAACACCGGUGGCGAAGGCGGCUCACUGGCUCAUUACUGACGCUCAGGCGCGAUAGCGUGGGGAUCAAACAGG
rnacentral:rRNA from 1 species